rnacentral:rRNA from 1 species
CGAACGCUGGCGGCGUGCCUAACACAUGCAAGUCUGGGAGAAAAGGGUAGCAAUAUCCUGAGUAAACCGGCGAACGGGUGAGUAACACGUAAGCAACCUUCCUUGUGAACGGGAAUAACCCCGCGAAAGCGGGGCUAAUACCCGAUGAUGUUUCGAAGCAGCAUUACUUUGAAACCAAAGGCCCCAAAAGGGCGUCAUAAGAUGGGCUUGCGUCCCAUUAGAUAGUUGGCGGGGUAACGGCCCACCAAGUCGACGAUGGGUAGCUGGUCUGAGAGGACGAUCAGCCACACUGGAACUGAGACACGGUCCAGACUUCUACGGAAGGCAGCAGUGAGGAAUAUUGCUCAAUGGGCGAAAGCCUGAAGCAGCGACGCCGCGUGAGGGAUGAAAUCCGUUAGGAUGUAAACCUCUUUUGCAGGGGAUGAAUGUCCCGACUUGUCGGGAUUGACCGUACCCUGUGAAUAAGCACCGGCCAACUACGU